GGGGAUUUAGCUCAGUGGUAGAGCGUUUGCCUAGCAAUCACAAGGCCCUGGGUUCGGUCCCCAGCUCCG
rnacentral:tRNA from 1 species